rnacentral:rRNA from 1 species
CUGGCGGCGUGCCUAAUACAUGCAAGUCGAACGCACUCUCGUUUAGAUUGAAGGAGCUUGCUCCUGAUUGAUAAACAUUUGAGUGAGUGGCGGACGGGUGAGUAACACGUGGGUAACCUGCCCUAAAGUGGGGGAUAACAUUUGGAAACAGAUGCUAAUACCGCAUAAAACCUAACACCGCAUGGUGUAGGGUUGAAAGAUGGUUUCGGCUAUCACUUUAGGAUGGACCCGCGGUGCAUUAGUUAGUUGGUGAGGUAAAGGCUCACCAAGACCGUGAUGCAUAGCCGACCUGAGAGGGUAAUCGGCCACACUGGGACUGAGACACGGCCCAGACUCCUACGGGAGGCAGCAGUAGGGAAUCUUCCACAAUGGACGAAAGUCUGAUGGAGCAACGCCGCGUGAGUGAAGAAGGUUUUCGGAUCGUAAAACUCAGUUGUUGGAGAAGAAUGUAUCUGAUAGUAACUGAUCAGGUAGUGACGGUAUCCAACCAGAAAGCCACGGCUAACUACGUG